CCAAGAACUUAAAAAAAAAAAAAAAAAAAAAACCUUUAUGGCGCUUCAUACGUAAAAGCAAGACAUGCUUAGAGAGGAAGGUGAGAGCAAAAUAUGAGCAAUGAGUCCCACAUAAUUUGAAAGACAUUUGUAAGCCAACUUUCCAUUCUACUAAUUAAUAAUAAUAAUAAUAAUAAUAAUAAUAAUAAUAAUAAUAAUAAUAAUAAUAAUAAUAAUAAUAAUAAUGUGAUUUUUGAAAUUGCUCAUGGACUGUUAUCCUAAAGGUGUGUGUGGUUGUGUGGUGGUAUAGUGAAGGUUAUUCGUGCACAUUGUUUCCUCAAUCUCAGAUAUUCUUCUCAAUAGAUGACUAUUGAUUUGACUGUAUUUGAGAAGUUAGACUAUUUUACUACUCCAUUUGUUUUAAUGAAAAACAACAUCCUGAGCCCUACGCUCUCCUUGGUGUCACAUAUUGCUCCGAAGGCUCAUAUACUGAGACAUAAAAAAAAACGUCUUCAAAUGUAAAUGUGCGCAUACGGAUUAUUAUCUUUUUCUAUUAUUAUUUCAAAAGGAGCCCUAAUAUAGAUGUCAAAUUAUAGCGUCGUGUUUCUUUUUUCUCAAACUCAGAAGAGCAUCUGUUAAAGCAGUGUGUCAUUUUAUCUUUCUUUUUUUCUAAUUCACCCUCUCAUCUUUAAGGAAUAACUCGGUUCGAACAAUAGGUGUGCUAAUAACUUUGCAACAAAAUUGUUUUCCAUGCGGAUAUUUGAAUUUAGUUCCUUCUGCCGUCUGCCUCUUUGUGACAGCACCUAUUGCAGAGUUUGGAGGCUCACAUCGGCAUUUAUUUUAUUUAAAUGUAAGUUAGUGCUAAUUUUGUUAGAUGUAGCGGGAUAAUAAUGAUUUGCUACAACAAAAUCGUCAAGUUUUAAUGACCUGAAGUGAUUCACAUUAUCAAGCCAAUGCUAAACAACUGAAUGAAAUUGACAUUGUUGCUUUUGUUCGAUUUUCUGAAUUGCCUAUUUGUCACCAUCAUUGGUUUUCUCACGCUUUUUUUCUUCGACUUAUUUAGGCGAUUGGAGAAAAUUUGAAAGAAAACAAACAAAUACAACGCCUCGAGCCUAACUCUGAAGUUGGGAUUAUUUGUGUUUUUAAACAGAGGAUUCUCAAUUUGAACUCCCAUAAAGCGACAUUCGAAUCGCCUGCUACUACAAUAUUUGAGAACAAGCCUUUAUUUUCCCUUGCACAUGUGGGGUUAUCCAGAUUCCUGUGGCUCUGGAGGUGUUUUACGUGAGCCAGUCUGUCUGACCACUGGUGCUGAGCUUUCGAGCAUUUGAAGAGCAAGGUGACGAAGGGGAGUAGCCUAUAGGGGGACUGCUUCUGCCUAUGGCAGCAAGAGGAAAAGUUUGCACUCCAUCCAUCAAAAGCGGCCUAUAUCAAGUUGAUCUAUGGCGUCGCUAAAAGCAGACAGGUCAGAGCUACAGAAGCGUCGGAUUUUUGUUAACUGGAGCAGAGCCUCCUGGAGGAAACAAACAGAGAUGCACACACGACCCAUCAGUUUAUUCCAGUUCUAUAAUUCCUUAUUAUGUAAUGGAGAAAUAGAGCAACAGGCAGCUGCAGGACGCAGAGAGAGGAAGCCAUCACAGGAUCUCAGGGAUUUUGAUUUUCACUGGACCUGUAUAAGGUUCCUUGAACAUCAUGAGCCUUAAGUAACCAAACCCCCAACACUGAAGACAUAAAGAAUAUGCAUGCAAUCUCUAAGGUGGAGAGUUACUCGAAUGAAGAAGAGAGGAGGCUGAUUUUCGGCAAGAGGAAGAUUUGAGAUUCACUGGACUCUUGUUUUGAGUCAAAAUAGCAGGACAUUGAUCCAGUUCAGCAUCACCGAACAAUCAAACAAUGUUUUUGCUUGAGAUGAAAUUUUUACAAGCCAAACGAUUCGCGAAUAGGUGGAGAAGUGUAAUAGAACAACACCAGGCCCAAAAUUAAUGACAUACAUAUGAUGCUAAAUGUUUGCAGCUGCAUCUUGAAUUAAAAGUUACAUUCACAAAAUGAUAGUCAUAGAGUGGUCAAAAAAUGUGAACAGUUUGGUGUAAAGCACUGGGGCAAUUAGAAGAUGCUUAUAAUAAGCCUCAACAAGAAUUCCCCUUAAAAACAUGUUGAAAAAACAAUAUAGGCUAAAGAUGAACUGGUUUACCGGCAAAAAGAAAAACGGCGCAAAAUUUUAUGGACUGAUGAAAAGAACUUUUUUGUUGGAUCUAGAGCACACAGCCGGCUUGUCGGACGAACCCAAAAUACUGAAUUUACAUCAGUUUACACCACAUUCUUAAUUAUUAUGCAAAUUGGAUUUAAGUGUCAAAGAUUUAAUUUUUUGUUGUUCCAUUAAACUCAUAGAUAGUAUUGUGUCUCAUGGCUUUUCAAGUCACUAUGUAACUAAUCUCAGUCACCUGUGCUAAUUAGCUUGCCAGGUGAGCUCAAUUAAAGUAAAACUACUUAAGAAAGAUUUUCCAUAUUAAAGCCAGCCACAGGUUUCAAGCAACAUGGGAAAGGGCACAGAUCGCUCUGCUGCCGAAAAGCGUCAGAUUGUACAGUGCCUUGGCAAAGGAAUGAAAACAUUAGAUAUUUCACAAAAACUGAAGCGUGAUCAUCGUACUGUGAAGAGAUUUGUGGCUGAUUCAGAGCACAGGCGGGUUCGUGCAGAUAAAGGCGUAAUGAGGAAGGUUUCUGUUAGACAGAUUCAUCAGAUUAAGACAGCAGCUGCUAAAAUGCUAUUACAAAUCAGCAAACAGUUAUUUGAAGCUGCUGGUGCCUCUGGAGUCCCACAAACCUCAAGGUGGAGGAUCCUCCAGAGGUUUGCUGUUAAACCUUCUAUUCGGCCACCCCUAACCAGUGAUCAAAAGCAGAAACGGUGGCACUGGGCCCAGACAUACAUGAAGACUAAUUUUCAAACAGUCUUGUUCACUGAUAAAUGUUGUGCAACCCUGGAUGGUCUAGAUGGAUGGAGUAGUGGAUGGGUGGUGGAUGGCCACCAUGUCCCAACAAGACUGCGACGUCAGCAAAGAGGUGGUAGAGUCACGUUUUGGGCCGGAAUCAUGGGGAGAGAGCUGGUCGGCCCCUUUAGGGUUCCCGAAGGUGGGAAAAUGACCUCGGCAAAGUACAUAGACUUUUUGUACCACUUUCUUCCAUGAUACAAAAAGAAGAGCCGUACCUUCAGUAGCAAAAUCAUCUUCAUGCAUGACACUGCACCAUCUCAUGCUGCAAGAAAUACCACCGUGUCAUUGGCUGCUAUGGGCAUAAAAGACGAGAAACUCAUGGUGUGGCCACCAUCUUCCCCUGACCUCAACCCUAUGGAGAACCUUUGGAGUUUCCUCAAGCAGAAGCUCUAUGAGGAUGGGACACAGUCCACAUCAAAACAGCAGCUCUGGAAAGCUAUUCUGACAGCCUGCAAAGAAAUUCAAGCAGAAACUAUCCACAAACUCACAAGUUCAAUGGAUGCAAGAAUUGUGAAGGUGAUAUCAAAGAAGGGGUCCUAUGUUAACAUGUAACUAGGUCUAAGAAGUUUUUGAUUGAAAUAGCUUUUGAUUUUAGUACCUGUGACCACGUAAUGCUGCAUGUUCAAAGAAUGACCAUUUGCAGUUCUUUAUAUCCAAUGAAAUGUUUUAAAAACCUGUUCUGCAUAAUAAUUUGGAACAGUGCAUUUGAGUUUUUUUAUUUUUGAAAGAAAUCCUGCAGUCAUUGGGAGGUUUGUUGAAUAAAAUUUAAUUUAUACCCUAAAUGCUCAUGACUUGAAAAUUAUACUGACCAUCAUUUGCAUUGAUUAUUUACAAAAAUAUAAAAAAAUAUCACUUGCACAAUAAAUUGGAACACGGUGUAAAUAUAUUAUAGUACUUGAGGAUGUACUGUUAGGUCAUGUCUAAAUUGAAAUGAGAUUAGAAUGUGUUUUAACAACACAACAUGGUCCAACACACCAUUAAACUGAGCUGUAUUUUGUUUCUAGACAAAUAAAACUAUAGUUACAAAAUACCUAGCCCAGUCCUGGGACAUUAAUUCAACAAAAAACUUGUGAGGUGACUUCAAACAUGACGUUUCUGAGGCAAAAUGAAGAAAUGCAAAAAAUUGUCUAAGGCCAAGUACAUAAAGCAGUUCUCAGAAAGUGACUUUACAACUAACUAGUCAAUUGCUCAUAAAUGUAUGGAAAAUCAAAAUCUAACCAUUCUUCAGUUUCUCUAUUGAAUAUUAUGCAGCAAAUAUUUGAGAAAAUUUAAAACUUUUUGGUGUUUCCUUGCCUACAUUGGAUUUUAUUUGCCUUACAAAUAUUUUGUGAGACAGAAGUAAUAAAUGUGUUGCUUUAUAAUUUUAGACAUAAUGUGUGGUGUUCUCAAUGAUUUCGCCUGUCUGGAAAUAAAAACUUUGUUCCGGAUUA